GACGAACGCUGGCGGCGUGCUUAACACAUGCAAGUCGUACGGUAAGGCCCUUUCGGGGGUACACGAGUGGCGAACGGGUGAGUAACACGUGAGUAACCUGCCCACAACUUUGGGAUAACGCUAGGAAACUGGUGCUAAUACUGGAUAUGUGCUCCUGCUGCAUGGUGGGGGUUGGAAAGCUCCGGCGGUUGUGGAUGGACUCGCGGCCUAUCAGCUUGUUGGUGGGGUAGUGGCCUACCAAGGCGGCGACGGGUAGCCGGCCUGAGAGGGUGACCGGCCACAUUGGGACUGAGAUACGGCCCAGACUCCCACGGGAGGCAGCAGUGGGGAAUAUUGCACAAUGGGCGCAAGCCUGAUGCAGCAACGCCGCGUGCGGGAUGACGGCCUUCGGGUUGUAAACCGCUUUCAGCAGGGACGAAGCUUUUUGUGACGGUACCUGCAGAAGAAGCACCGGCUAACUACGUG
rnacentral:rRNA from 1 species